ACGGAAGGCAGCAGUGAGGAAUAUUGGUCAAUGGGCGGAAGCCUGAACCAGCCAAGUCGCGUGAAGGAUGAAGGUAUUAUGUAUUGUAAACUUCUUUAGCAGUGGAGUAAUAAGGAGGUCGAGACCUCUGAUGCAAGUACACUGAAAAUAAGGAUCGGCUAACUCCGUGCCAGCAGCCGCGGUAAUACGGAGGAUCCGAGCGUUAUCCGGAUUUAUUGGGUUUAAAGGGUGCGCAGGCGGCCUUGUAAGUCAGCGAUUAAAUCGUGGAGCUCAACUCCAUCCCGCCGUUGAUACUGCAGGGCUUGGUUGCGGUCGAGGUUGGCGGAAUUCGUCGUGUAGCGGUGAAAUGCAUAGAUAUGACGAAGAACACCGAUUGCGUAGGCAGCUGACCAGGCCGUAAAUGACGCUCAUGCACGAAAGUGCGGGGAUCGAACAGGAUUAGAUACCCUGGUA
rnacentral:rRNA from 1 species